rnacentral:lncRNA from 1 species
UUUUUAUAAAAUUAUAAUAUUAUUAAUAUUUUGUAAAAUAUAAAUUAAUAAUUUUUAAUAAUAUUAUAUAUAUAAUUUAACAAUAUUAAUUAUAAAAAUAAAAAAUAUCAAUCACAAUUCAAAACAAAAUUUAAAAAUUUCAAAUACAUUAGAAAUGAGAGUACUAAUUUAUUUGCAUUUUGAACUUUUUUUUAUAAAUACAUUAUUUUUUAAGAAUAUAUUUUUUAAAUAUAAAUGAUUUUCGGGGCGGAUUCGGGGCGGAUCAUGGCGGGGCGGAUUCGAGGCGGGUCAAAAUUUCUCCCGUUUCCUGCCCCGAAUCCGUCUCGGAUCAUAAAAUUUACCCCGCUUCCUGUCCCGAAUCCGUUUAUUUUCUCCCAUUUACUAUCCCGUCGGGACGGAUCGGGGCGGGAGCUCCACCAACCCGGAUCCGUUUGCAUCCCUAGCUACGGGAAUGUUUGUUUCAUCGAAACCGAACUUUGGGUUGAAGUGGAGUUCGAUGAAAACUACUUCUCCGCUGUUUGUUUUGUAGUUAUGGAAAUGAAGUUAUUAGUUCUGCUGUUUGUUUGGUAGGAAAUGUAUGAUGUAAAAUAUAAUUUAUAUAUAAAUAAUAAAUAAUUUAAUAAAUAAAAAUAAUAUAAUUAUACUUUUAUGUAAUUAAUUUAAUUAAAACAGCUAAAUUAUUUUUUUAUACAUAAAUUUGUUUGAAUAAAAAAAAAUGAAAUAAAAAAAAUAAAAAAAAGGAAAGAGAAAAAAAGAGGAAAAAAUGUAAAAUUUGAAAAAAAUAUCCCACUUCAAAAAAAAGAAAGG